rnacentral:rRNA from 1 species
AGAAUCAACGCUGGCGGCGUGCCUCAGACAUGCAAGUCGAACGCGAAAGUCCCCUUCGGGGGACAAGUAGAGUGGCGCACGGGUGAGUAACACGUAGGUAAUCUACCUUUGGAUGGGGAAUAACAACCGGAAACGGUUGCUAAUACCGCAUAAUGCAGCGGCACCUAAUGGUGACAGUUGUUAAAGCGGGGGAUCGAAAGACCUCGCGUCUGAAGAGGAGCCUGCGGCGGAUUAGCUAGUUGGUAAGGUAAUGGCUUACCAAGGCUACGA